rnacentral:rRNA from 1 species
UACGUAGGGUGCGAGCGUUGUCCGGAAUUAUUGGGCGUAAAGAGCUUGUAGGCGGUCUGUCGCGUCUGCUGUGAAAAUCCGGGGCUCAACCCCGGACUUGCAGUGGGUACGGGCAGACUAGAGUGUGGUAGGGGAGACUGGAAUUCCUGGUGUAGCGGUGAAAUGCGCAGAUAUCAGGAGGAACACCGGUGGCGAAGGCGGAUCUCUGGGCCGAAAUUGACGCUGAGGAGCGAAAGCGUGGGGAGCAAACAGG